UACAGGGGGUGCAAACGUUGCUCGGAAUCAUUGGGCGUAAAGCGCACGUAGGCGGUUCGUUAUGUCGGAUGUGAAAGCCCUUGGCUUAACCGAGGAAGUGCAUCCGAAAACUGGCGAGCUAGAGUACGAAAGAGGAUCGCGGAAUUCCCGGUGUAGAGGUGAAAUUCGUAGAUAUCGGGAGGAACACCGGUGGCGAAGGCGGCGAUCUGGGUCGAUACUGACGCUGAGGUGCGAAAGCGUGGGGAGCAAACAGG
rnacentral:rRNA from 1 species